UAGGGAAUCUUCCACAAUGGGCGAAAGCCUGAUGGAGCAACGCCGCGUGAGUGAAGAAGGUUUUCGGAUCGUAAAACUCUGUUGUAAGGGAAGAACAAGUGCGGUAGUAACUGGCUGCACCUUGACGGUACCUUAUUAGAAAGCCACGGCUAACUACGUGCCAGCAGCCGCGGUAAUACGUAGGUGGCAAGCGUUGUCCGGAAUUAUUGGGCGUAAAGCGCGCGCAGGCGGUUUCUUAAGUCUGAUGUGAAAGCCCCCGGCUUAACCGGGGAGGGUCAUUGGAAACUGGGAGACUUGAGUGCAGAAGAGGAAAGUGGAAUUCCAAGUGUAGCGGUGAAAUGCGUAGAGAUUUGGAGGAACACCAGUGGCGAAGGCGACUUUCUGGUCUGUAACUGACGCUGAGGCGCGAAAGCGUGGGGAGCAAACAGG
rnacentral:rRNA from 1 species